rnacentral:lncRNA from 1 species
UAGCCAUGCCACAUUUAUCCCACUCUCCUACCAAGCCACGGGUCUGCAUGUGCCGGGCAUUUGCCUCUGACUUGGCACAUCUGGCUUCGAACCCAGGAUGCCCAACCCUCUGUCGACUUAUUUAGUUAGUCUUGAGAGACCCAGAAGAACAUUUACUAUCACUUCCUGAAAGGCUUCCUUGAUUUAUUCAGCAAGAACAAUCUGUCCUCAUCCUCCCCUGACAGCAUUUGUCACCUGGCUCAUUUAUUCACUAACACACAUUUACUGUGCAUCUCUCCUGUGCUGGGUUUUGGCCCUGGGGGUCAAACACCAACUGAGACCCACCCUUUGCCACUACUGUCUUCUGGUUUCUGAUUCCACCAUCCCCUAGAGGGAGGCUGCUUCCACCAGCACACAGCAGGUCCUUAGGAAACCUCCCCUGGCUCCUGCCUCUCUGGGGACUAGAGAUGGGGAUGUAAGUGCUGAGGUUGCCCAGAUGCUCCUGCACACAUGGGUGGCCACGUGCCCCCUGUAAGAGCCACUUAACAGACUUGGGGCAGAGAGACAACGCCUCUGUGGGAAAACAGCUUGUGUUGCGGGCAUCUGCUGUGAUAUCGGUCUGUAUGGGCUGUCAAGACACACCUGCACAGGAAGAAGGAAGGUGAGGAGUGGUCAGUGCUUAACUCCAAAGCAACGUCUGCUCUAAGACAGGCAUUUUCAGGCUGAAGACUGGGGAGCUGGAGAGAUACUCAGGGUCUCCUGGAGUCACUCCCUUCUGUGCCAGAGACCACAUAGCAAGCGCCUCAGUGGACUCCCGUGUCCUUGCUGUCGACAGGAGGGAUGGAGGCGCCUCCAGCCAGACCCCCAAGGCCAUGAAGGCCACAGAAGGACUUGGGGAAAUGCAAUCUCCAGCCUGGGCCUCAGCCUGGGAUGUCACUUGAACUUUCCAUUUAGGUGCGCGAAGUUACUACUGGGCGAAAAAGCUGUUGGUGAAAUCCAGUAUCAGAAAUAAACGCCAGGAAAGCGGAAGCCUUCAUUUCUGUGACAGUGGCUCCUCCCUGCUCUUAAAAAAGAGAGCUUAUUUGAGGAUCAGGAGCCGUUUCCUAGAAAUAGAUUCCUCCUCAGGGAGAAAGAAUUUUGCGGGGGAUAGGAGGGUGGGGUG